rnacentral:rRNA from 1 species
UACGGAGGGUGCAAGCGUUAUCCGGAUUCACUGGGUUUAAAGGGUGCGUAGGCGGGUUGUUAAGUCCGUGGUGAAAUCCCCAAGCUUAACUUGGGAACUGCCGUGGAUACUAUCAAUCUUGAAUAUCGUGGAGGUAAGCGGAAUAUGUCAUGUAGCGGUGAAAUGCUUAGAUAUGACAUAGAACACCAAUUGCGAAGGCAGCUUGCUAGACGAUGAUUGACGCUGAGGCACGAAAGCGUGGGGAUCAAACAGG